UACGUAGGGUGCUAGCGUUGUUCGGAAUUACUGGGCGUAAAGGGCGUGUAGGCGGACCCGUCAGUCAGGGGUGAAAUCCCGGGGCUCAACCUCGGAACUGCCUUUGAGACUGCUGGUCUUGAGGACGGGAGAGGGUCGUGGAAUUCCCAGUGUAGAGGCGAAAUUCGUAGAUAUUGGGAAGAACACCGGUGGCGAAGGCGGCGACCUGGACCGUAUCUGACGCUGAGGCGCGAAAGCGUGGGGAGCGAACAGG
rnacentral:misc_RNA from 1 species